CAUUGAUGGGUUCUGGGGUGCAUUGAUGGAUCCUGCGGUGCAGUGAUGGGUUCUGGGGUGCAUUGAUGGGUUCUGGGGUGCAGUGAUGGGUUCUGGGGUGCAUUGAUGGGUUCUGGGGUGCAUUGAUGGGUUCUGGGGUGCAGUGAUGGGUUCUGGGGUGCAGUGAUGGGCUCUGGGGUGCAUUGAUGGAUCCUGCGGUGCAUUGAUGGGUUCUGCGGUGCAUUGAUGGGUUCUGCGGUGCAUUGAUGGGUUCUGGGGUGCAGUGAUGGGUUCUGGGGUGCAUUGAUGGAUCCUGCGGUGUUGCUGCCGCCUCGGCGGGGCUGUGGGGCCCCGGCUGCGGGAAUUAUCACCGGGCAGUUCCUGCGGUGCUUCUCUGGAGGCUGUAAUUAGCCGUCUUGGUGGCAGGAAAGAGCCUGAGCGGGCAGGGCAGUGGCAGAGCGGGCAGCGCUUCAGUUGCUGCUCUCAAGCUCCAAAAUAAAGAUCUCGCGUGCUGUGACGCUCCCCAGAAAUGAGGCGGUGCCACCCGGGAAGGUGCUGGUCCGGUGUGGGAUGGGCCGUGGUGCCUGUCAGCGCUCCUUUGCGGUUCCUGUGGGGAACAGGGGCUGGAAAUGGGGCAGAAUAUUCGUGAAGCAGCUGGAGCAUUGCUGGCCUGUAAGCAUCGCUCCUGACAAAGCUUCCUUACUUGUUUUUCUUCGUAAUUCAAACCCAGCUCCGGGUGAGGUUGGUGCGAUGCAGCAGGACCUGCUUUGGAAGCCAGUGCCCGAAUGGGUGCAGGGGAGUCCUGCAGUGGUGCCACCCUCCUGCACUGCAGCCGGGCCUCAGAUGUGCUGUGUUCCCCUGUCCCAGGGCAGAGGGGAUCCGGGACACCGCAGCUGGAACCAGCCUGGUUCCUGGCAGGGCACUGAGGCCCCUGGGGCUGUCCAUAACUUCCCAGAGAAGCCGUGGAUCGGGAUGCCCCCUCCCUGGAAGUGCCCCAGGCCAGCCCAGCCCGUUCUGGGAUUCUGUGGUGAGCUGUGGCUCACACAGGAAAGGUUCCCACAGCUGCACUCCCAGCACACUCACGCUGAUUUUGGCAGCCUGCAGUUCAACCAGCACGGUGAAUUUCAACAUUAGAGGCAUUGGACUCAUGGAAUGAUUUGCAUUGGGAAAGACCCCAAGGAUCACUCAGUUCCAACCACCCCACCAUGGACACGGAUGUUUAGCAUCAAGAGGGGCUGGUUGUUGAUAUUCUUUAAGAAAAUAACCCGGUUUACCCCUCUGCUCCCAGCCUGAGGCCAUCCCACUAGGUGUCAGUGCACACCCAGGUACCAGCACGAUGGCCCAGACAAAAAGCCACCGAGUAAUUUUCAGCAUACUGUUCAUUUGCUGCAGCUGUAAUUUGAGUUUCUGGGGCCAUUUAUCAUAAAAGUGUCUGCUUGCUGAUGCCAUGGCUCAAGGCUGCGGGAGUAUCUCACCGUGUUCCUGGGAGAAUCAAACUAUUGGAGCUGAUUUCACUAAAAGCUGUCACAAUACAUUACUGGAAUGCUUUUUAUUAAAGUUCAUUUUCCACUCUGUGAUUUUACAGUGUUCUAGAGCACUGCUAUUUGCUGUAUGCUGGAACAGUAAUUUCCCUAUUGAAGUCAGUUAUUCAAUUCUCAAAGCUGACUGCAAUUGUGUGAAACAGAUGCGAGAAAAGCAGGGCUGGGCAGACACGGAGCCAUGCUGUGUCCCCCUCCCGGGACCAGAGGGAGGAGCAGCGUCCCCAUCCUGGCACGGGGAGGGCCGGGAAGGUGGGAAUGCUCUGCCCUGAGGCCACGGAGGAGGUGGGCUCGGGGAGGCAUCACAAGUGCCAAGUGCACUGAUCAAAGGUCAAAAGAGGGGAUAAACAGAGGGUGGUGUAAGUGGGACUGAAUUCAGGGGUUGUUGGGCAAGAAACCAACGGCUGGGAGAGCUGGAUCAAAGCUGGUUGGGAAAAACUUAAAAAACUUGAGUUUGGUGCAGUGGUCUUCACCCUCCUUACGUUUCUUUAGGCAGCCAAGCACCCUGUGGGUGGAUUUUGGGGGGCAGACGGGGCUGUGUCCUCCCAGGCACCUCCUGGGAGCCACAGGCUGAUUACAAACCUCACCUGAGCGAGGGGACUCUUGUGGCCACCACAAGCCCCACCGCAGAUGGGCUGAGAGCAGUCUGUGGAAGCCAGGAGGGCUGGAGGGGACAGGGUGUCACCCUGUGCUCGGGGUGUCCCCCAGCCCAGGCUGCACAGCCCCUGGGGCUCAGAGAAACAGCAGCUUCCAGCUGGUGGUGUGGAAAUCACCCAUGUGCUCAUUAAUAAACAGAACUGGUGGGCUGGAGAUGAUUUGGAGGCAGGGAUGGCUUUCACUGUGGCUAUGGCAUAUUCUAGGAGACAUUACUGUGGUUUGCACAUAAUAUCUACAAGUUACAUAGGCUGGGCUGCAAUAAAUCAAAGAAGAUGCAGGGUGUGGUGCUUCCAAACGAGCAGAGCACAUUGCUGAAAUAUUUAGGCUGCAUCACAGUUAAAUGCUUCUUCAGAUGCCCCAUUCCAGGCUUUGUCUUUAUGGAAAGGCUCCUGGCAAAAUCAUCUGAACUUUGGUUUGGAUGUGGGAGAGGCUGCAAUUACAGGGGCGUUUAACCCUGGUUUAUGACCUCUUUGGGCUGAGGAUAUGUUUACUACUUGCUAUUACCAUAAGUGGUGCUGCUGCCCUGCUUGCAAUUCUGAUGCCCAUUAAGAUGGAAACUGUAUGUAAAUCAGGAUCCCUCGUUAAUAUUUGCAAUUCAUGGUGGGAUGUAGCAGUUUGUCUGUCAUAAGAAGAACUGUAAACAGGAAGUUUACGAACACUGAAAACUGUUGCUAAGGUGGUUCUCUUGAAAUAAUUUUCCUUUGCAGCUAAACAUCAAUUCUUAAUUUUAGUAGCACACGUAGCAGGAUGGAAAUGAUGAUUGAUUUUUCUCCAGGUGCUGUGGGCUGCUUAAGUUGAGAUUUCACUAUAAAAGAUGAGACAUUUCCAAUUGGUUUUCAUAAGUUCAGAAUUGAUUUUAUUUGUUUAACACCUGACUAACAUAAUAAAGGAGAAAAAUAUAGUUGGACAGAAAACACAGAGAGCUGCUGGGUGCCUGGUUUCUGGCCUUCCUUUAGGUGAUGUGAUCUGAAGCCGUGCUCCUGCCCCAGGUCUCUUCCAAAGUGGGUCAUACAGACGUUUUUGCACUGUGUUCACAAACAACUGUGGUUCUGUGUAGACUUUGAAUGUUUUGUGCAAGUCUGGC